rnacentral:rRNA from 1 species
AAUUAUGGACAAUGGGGGAAACCCUGAUCCAGCCAUCCCGCGUGUGCGAUGAAGGCCUUCGGGUUNUAAAGCACUUUUGUCAGGGANAAAAAGGUUCUGGCUAAUACCCGGAACUGAUGACGGCACCUGAAGAAGAAGCACCGGCUAACUACGUGCCAGCAGCCGCGGUAAUACGUAGGGUGCAAGCGUUAAGCGGGAUUACUGGGAGUAAAGCGUGCGCAGGCGGUUCGGAAAGAAGGAUGUGAAAUCCCAGGGCUCAACCUUGGAACUGCAUUCUUAACUACCGAGCUAGAGUAUGCCAGAGGGGGGUAGAAUUCCGCGUGUAGCAGUGAGAUACGUAGAUAUGCGGAGGAAUACCGAUGGCGAAGGCAGCCCCCUGGGCCGAUACUGACGCUCAUGCACGAAAGCGUGGGUAGCAAACAGG